UACGUAGGGGGCAAGCGUUGUCCGGAAUUAUUGGGCGUAAAGCGCGCGCAGGCGGUCCUUUAAGUCUGAUGUGAAAGCCCACGGCUUAACCGUGGAGGGUCAUUGGAAACUGGAGGACUUGAGUACAGAAGAGGAGAGUGGAAUUCCACGUGGAGCGGUGAAAUGCGUAGAGAUGUGGAGGAACACCAGUGGCGAAGGCGACUCUCUGGUCUGUAACUGACGCUGAGGUGCGAAAGCGUGGGUAGCGAACAGG
rnacentral:rRNA from 1 species